CCUACGGGAGGCAGCAGUGGGGAAUUUUGGACAAUGGACGCAAGUCUGAUCCAGCCAUGCCGCGUGCGGGAAGAAGGCCUUCGGGUUGUAAACCGCUUUUGUCAGGGAAGAAAAGGUUCUGGUUAAUACCUGGGACCCAUGACGGUACCUGAAGAAUAAGCACCGGCUAACUACGUGCCAGCAGCCGCGGUAAUACGUAGGGUGCAAGCGUUAAUCGGAAUUACUGGGCGUAAAGCGUGCGCAGGCGGUUAUGCAAGACAGAUGUGAAAUCCCCGGGCUCAACCUGGGAACUGCAUUUGUGACUGCAUAGCUAGAGUACGGUAGAGGGGGAUGGAAUUCCGCGUGUAGCAGUGAAAUGCGUAGAUAUGCGGAGGAACACCGAUGGCGAAGGCAAUCCCCUGGACCUGUACUGACGCUCAUGCACGAAAGCGUGGGGAGCAAACAGGAUUAGAUACCCUGGUAGUCCACGCCCUAAACGAUGUCAACUGGUUGUUGGGAGGGUUUCUUCUCAGUAACGAAGCUAACGCGUGAAGUUGACCGCCUGGGGAGUACGGCCGCAAGGUUGAAACUUAAUGAAUUGNGNGNGNGNGNGCGAGACGACGACGAGGAGAGG
rnacentral:rRNA from 1 species